rnacentral:lncRNA from 1 species
GAGACAGGGUUUCUCUGUGCAGCCCUGGCUGUCCUGGAACUUACUCUAGACCAGGCAGGCCUCGAACUCAGAAAUCUGCCUGCCUCUGCCUCCCAAGUGCUGGGAUUAAAGGUGAGCUACCACACCUGGCAUGCUUAGUUUUUGAAGUACUUAUCAGUCAAAGAGAAAGUUAGAGUGAAGCUUAUAUUAGGUGAACAGAGCUAUGACUAAAGUGUGCGAAUUCAAGCUUGGGAGAUUUGAAAGUUGUUUAACAUGCACGAAUAUUGAACGGAUGGCAUUUUAAGUGUGUGUAUCCCCCCUUUCUUUUGUAGAGUGAGUCUUUGGUGGUUUGUGAUGUUGCUGAAGAUUUAGUGGAAAAGCUGAGAAAGUUUCGUUUUCGAAAAGAAACCCACAAUGCUGCUAUUAUAAGUAAGCUGAAGUUGCCUCAAAACUAUAUGAUGUUAGUUUGUUUUCUCUUAAAGCUCCUUUGAAUACUCCAAGCCUUCAGAGUGCAAUGGUGCCUCCACCGGCUGCAUUUACCACCGUUACCUCUGCAAGUUAAACUGCUCAUGCCAUUGCCAAAGAUAACCCUGAGCCAGCUGCCUCCCCAGCUCUGGAGAGGCCGAUUGUCUUAGUCACUUGAGGAGUGAGGGUUCCCAUUGUAGUGACCCAUGGACUUUGUCUUUCCCAGGGUGCUAACAGUAGUUCAGACCAAACAUUUGCCCACACCUAAAUUGUAAAGUUCAGCACUGGGCAUUGAUCUUAGUUGUGGAAGGACUUUACUUGUUUUGUAGGUAAUACUUUGUGGGCAAUGAUUUAGAAAAGGGCUGAGGCAGUGAAGACAUAAAGAGCAUAGGCCACUUGUCAGAGGUGCAUCAGGCAGGUGUCAGUAAACCAGCUGGUGGCACCUUAGCAAGUUUGUCUGUUAUAACUAAAUGCUAUCAUGUGGUCAUUUGGUUCUUAAAGGGAAAAUGUGGAAGAGUGGCAUUUACCACCAAAGAUGAGGCCAUGUGAAGUCACAUUGUGUGUUCGUAGGAUUUAAUGUGAAUUUUGUGCAAACCCGAACAUAGUUGCAUCAUUAGACAGGUAGAAAAGUAUAAAGGCAUAGGCGACCUUUAUUUUCACAUAGAUUUGGGUUGGGUUAUAUCACUUAUAUUUGAAUAUCUUUGAAUAGAGGUGGGAUUGGUAAUUCACUUUCUCAGAAUAAUGACUAUAUGCAUGGCAUUGUAAUGUUGGCGAAGCUGGAGGUCUUGGGGUUCUCUCUCCUGACCCCUGGUGAGCACUUCUUUUGCAGUUCUAAUGUUGCACAUAGACCAAGCUCAGGGUUAUCCUUCCCAGCCCCUUAGAAAGUUGCAUUGGGUUAGGAAGUUCUCCAUACCCGAAGUCCAUGUGAGGAGCUGGUAAGAGUCUAAAUAAUAAACAAGCAAGUUCCAUGCUGGGAGUUCUAUCCACAAGUGUAAAGGCAAAACUUGAAUGUGCUUUAUGCUGUUUCUUGGUGCUGUAGUUUGAGGUGCUCCCUCCCCUCCGCAAUGACUAGGGCUGCACUGGGUUGGGUGACACGUUACUUACACUGUAUUUUCAUUGUAGUGAAGAUUGACAAGGAUGAACGCCUGGUGGUGCUGGAUGAGGAGCUCGAGGUUUGUUCAAUGAGCUACAUACAAUUUUAUAGUUAAGCCAUUAUUGUUGUCAAACAAUGCUGUCAGUUACAAGUACUAAAACAAGUUCUGGACCUUCUUAAAUGCAUACUAAUUAUGCAUGAAAACAUGAGCUAAUUAUUGGUUCUACAUUGUCUUGCUGAUUUAACUGCCUUCCUUAAGCAUUAAUGAGAUGCAGUGUGGCAGGUAGGGGUUCGAGCUCUCCUAAAAGCAGAGGCAGCUCCCUUCUUACAAGCAGUGCAUAGAGUGGAAGAAGACUGAAGCCCGCCCGCCACGUGAGCGCGGGACUGGAGUGGAAUUAAUGCUCUUUGAGGUUUUGCUAUGUCAUUCAGUCACCCUGUGUCUCUUGACACUUGGAAGAUAAGCAUAGAAGAAACACUGCCCUUCAUACCCAUGUGUUGUUGAAAGUAGAAGUAAUGUGAUAAUGAGCCAUAGCUCUUAGCAGAAUGGGGUGCAGUGGACCUUGGGUAAGGACAUGCUUGCUUCAGAGUUGUCUUUUCUCUGGUGCCAGGGUGUCUCUCCAGAUGAACUUAAAGACGAACUACCCGAGCGGCAGCCUCGAUAUCCUUUUCUAAGUGGUUUGGAGAUUUUCGUUCGUUAUCAGGAUUUUAUGUAUGAACCUGUUUGUUAAACUUUCAAAAGAUAUAUUUUAUAAGGCAUGAAAACAGAAUUGGGGACUGUUUGGGAGGAGAGAGGGAACAGUGAAGGGGGUGUGGAGGGGUGACUAUGAGCAAAGUAUUGAGAAUAUACAUGAAACCCAUGACUUCAUUAUGCUGACUAAGAAGCUAAUACAAGAAUAAGAACAUAUCUUAAAAGUAGUCCUUUCUCAUCUUGACCACAUCCAAAUUAAAACAUGUAUGCAUGUAUUAGACAAAAGUAUGAAAGUUGAUGUCUUGACUGGAUUUUUUAAGAAAAAACAAACAAUUCUCUUUGUUCUAAUAAUGUGCAUACAGUAAAAACUG